UCUAGCGUUUCAACUGGUCGCAGUGAACAAAAUGGGUUGAAUAUGGAGAAAUCUUUCCAGAAAUUUCAAGAAAUCAUUGCUUCUCUUCCUCCUGUUAUUCUCGCGGUCAGUUUCUGUUGCAAUUCUCUUUUUUUUAUUCAGUUAAUUUCCGUCCAUUUUGCAUAUCAGUUUUCAGUAUUGUUGAUGAGAUUGUUUCGACGAAUUUCGAAGAAUGGUGUUGAUGAUUAUUUUCUAGCUGGUUAUUGCAUUAUGAUUUACAAUAGGGUCAGUUUUUGGAAACUAUUGAUUCUGCAAUUUGAAUCUUCCUUGAAAAGUUUAUAUUUGUGCCGAGGUUUAUUGUUCUUGUAUUGCUAUUCGCUGCUUGAUAUCCAUAAAAGACUAAAUUUUCUAUGUCGAAGCGUUGAUGCUUCGCAAAAUGUUGUUCAUUUGCACAAAGCAAGCACUGCUGCUAGCUUGCAGAAAGCAAUCACAGUAGUGAUUGUACAGUCUGGUCAGUCUCUUGAUGAGGUAUGUUCAAAUAAAGUAUAUAUAUACACAUCUUUAAUUUAUUUACAAUGUGCUAAAAAAUUUCUAUUGAUGAGUCUCUUCUUUAAAUGCAGCUAUGGGCACGAGGAAUAUAUGCAGGGAGAUGGUAGUGAAUAGGGUAUUGAUGCUUUGCAUUGAGACCUGAAAUUUCUCUAUUGUGCAUGUCUCAACUGUCAAUCACUACUGUGAUUGCUAAGAAUGUGAAGGAGUUAUUGUUAUACUUCACUAUAGAGCAAUAUCUUUACCAUUCUAUGUCUGUGAAGCAAACGAAAAAGUUUAGUGUGUAAGCAAGAACUAGACAUCCUAGUUUAAUGAUUCUGUAGUUUAAAAUAGGGCUUUGCCAUCUUUCUGUGACAGCGGAUAAAGCAAGGAACAUUGAUCAUGCUAAAAAGGCUAUUGAGGAUGCUGCUCAAAAGGGUGCCAAGCUAGUUGUUUUGCAUGUACUCGAAAAUAAUAAUAAAAGUCCAACAGAUCAAGAACAAGAGGACACUACUUGAGGCUUCAAAUUGACUACCAUCAUUGUUUUGCUAGAUCUUAGUAUUAGUUAGUUUUGUAAGGCUACAACUACAUUUUUAGUGUGUUUUAAUUUUGUGGUAUUUUUAGUAACAUAUUAGUUAUGAAGUAUUAUUGAUGAACGUGUGUAGGAAUUUUGAUUGCGCGAACUACAUUUAUGAUUUAU